rnacentral:pre_miRNA from 1 species
UUAGUCCCUGCGUUUGUAAGUGAGUUUGAUUUUAGUUCCUCUAAGGCAAAAUGAUGUUUAGUGGCGGUCUUUCAGUAAACGUAAAAAUGAUCGCGACUAUACGUUAUUGUCCCUCAGAGGAAUUAAAAUCAAACUCGAAUACAAAUUCAGAGACUAA